GGGGUGGAGAUGUUGACCGUUUACAAGUUUUCAGACAAGAGGGGGUGGGGUGAACCCCUUGGGACUUCCCUUCUAUAUCAUUUCAUUUGUUUUAUUGUCCCCUACAAGAAUAUAUAUGGUUUAGGGGUGGGGAUCUGGACCGUUUACAAGAUAAUAGCACAUUCUCAUAUCGAACACGGUGGGGGCGACCCCCAGGAACUUCCCUUUAAUUUCAUUUGAUUAGCCUUAUUGUCCCAUACAAGAAUAUAUAUGGUUUACGAGUGGUGAUGUUGACCGUUUACAAGUUUUCAAACAAGAGGGGGCGGGGUAACCCCCUAGGGACUUCCCUUUUAUUUCAUUUUAUUUGUAUUAUUGUCCCCUACAAGAAUAUAUAUGGUUUAGGGGUGGGGAUGUUGACCGUAUACAAGUUUACAAACAAGACGGGGUGGGGUGACCCCCUCGGGACUUCCCUUUUAUUUCAUUUCAUUUGUUUUAUUGUCCCCUACAAGAAUAUAUAUGGUUUAGGGGUGGGGAUCUGGACCGUUUACAAGAUAAUAGUACAUUCUCAAAUUGAUCAGGGUGGGGAUGACCCCCGGGGACUUCCCUUUAAUUUUAUUUGAUUUGUUUUAUCGUCCCCUUCAAGAAUAUAUAUGGUUUAGGGGUGGGGAUCUGGACUGUUUACAAGAUAAAAGCAUAUUCUCAAAUUGAAGGGGGUGGGGAUGACCCCCCAGGGACUCCCCCUAUAUUUCAUGUGAUUUGUUUUAUUGUCCUAUAAUCAUUUCUGCAGACUGCAUGUAUCUAUCACUUACAGUUUUCAAGUUAUAUUCAUUUGAAAAUUUUAGAAAAUAAAAUCCCAUAGGGUUCUAUAGUAAACCCCUCCCUUCUUUCUGCCCCCCCCCCCCCAAAAUACCCCUUAAUAGACCCCAAUGCACAAACGAAAGAUUGAUGGCUCACCUAGACAUAUUAGUCUAACAUUCUAUGAAACCC
rnacentral:lncRNA from 1 species